rnacentral:tRNA from 1 species
GCUGGCGUAGCUCAGUGGUAGAGCGGCUCACUCGUAAUGAGCAGGUCGUGGGUUCAAUCCCCACCGCCAGCU